CAGCAGCCGCGGUAAUACCGGCGGCCCGAGUGGCGGUCACUAUUAUUGGGCUUAAAGCGUCCGUAGCCGGGUUGGGAAGUCCUCCGGGAAAUCUGGCCGCUUAACGGUCAGAAUGCCGGAGGAUACUCCCAGCCUAGGGAGCGGGAGAGGCCGAGGGUAUUCCCGGAGCAGGGGUGAAAUCCUAUAAUCCCGGGAGGACCACCUGUGGCGAAGGCGCUCGGCUGGAACGCGUCCGACGGUGAGGGACGAAGGCCAGGGGAGCAAACCGGAUUAGAUACCCGGGUAGUCCUGGCUGUAAACGAUGCGGACUUUGUGUCGGACAAGCUAUGAGCUUGUCCGGUGCCGGAGGGAAACCGUUAAGUCCGCCGCCUGGGGAGUACGGCCGCAAGGCUGAAACUUAAAGGAAUUGGCGGG
rnacentral:rRNA from 1 species